UACGAAGGGGGCUAGCGUUGCUCGGAAUGACUGGGCGUAAAGGGCGCGUAGGCGGAGAGCUGUGUCGGGCGUGAAAUUCCAGGGCUUAACCUUGGGGCUGCGUUCGAGACGGGUUUUCUUGAGUGGGGAAGAGGGUCGUGGAAUUCCCAGUGUAGAGGUGAAAUGCGCAGAUAUCAGGAGGAACACCGGUGGCGAAGGCGGGUCUCUGGGCCGAUACUGACGCUGAGGAGCGAAAGCGUGGGGAGCGAACAGG
rnacentral:rRNA from 1 species